AAGUUGAUCCAGCACCAGACCACCAAAGCCAGGACCAUGAUGGAGGCACUUCAACCAGCGAUAUGUUUGGUGGAGAGAUCAAGCAAGGAAGGACAGCAGCUUCCUCCAUCCUUCUCCUCCUCUCUUCUUAGAACCAUCAUCCCACCAAGAUCAGAUAAAGGACCACCAGCAUUGCCCCCACCACCUCUGCCUCUGUGCCAGCCUCCUGCUGUCUGCCAGCAUGUAGUUUGAGGCCACCUCCACCUCCCAGUCUGCAACCAGUGGAUGGCCCAUGCCAUCACAGUUCUCCCAACCGACAGCACAGAAGCCAACACAAACACUGUCUGCAGCCAGGAGAGAGGGGCUAGAGGACAUCCCUACCCAAAGAACAGCAGAA